rnacentral:rRNA from 1 species
AUGUAAAUUCCUAAAACAUAGCGUUAAUGCACUAGAUAUCAUUAGAACUCCGCAGUUAAGUGUGUUAAGGCUAGAGUAGUACUGGGAUGGGUGACCACCAGGGAAGUACUAGUGUUUUACAUU